rnacentral:pre_miRNA from 3 species
UCUUAUAAAUGAGCAAAGACAGUAGUUUCUUGAGAUGGAAUCUACUCCUGGUGAAGAUGCUAUGCA